rnacentral:rRNA from 1 species
UGGGGAAUUUUGGACAAUGGGCGAAAGCCUGAUCCAGCAAUGCCGCGUGUGUGAAGAAGGCCUUCGGGUUGUAAAGCACUUUUGUCCGGAAAGAAAUCCUUGGCUCUAAUACAGUCGGGGGAUGACGGUACCGGAAGAAUAAGCACCGGCUAACUACGUGCCAGCAGCCGCGGUAAUACGUAGGGUGCAAGCGUUAAUCGGAAUUACUGGGCGUAAAGCGUGCGCAGGCGGUUUGCUAAGACCGAUGUGAAAUCCCCGGGCUCAACCUGGGAACUGCAUUGGUGACUGGCAGGCUAGAGUAUGGCAGAGGGGGUAGAAUUCCACGUGUAGCAGUGAAAUGCGUAGAGAUGGUGGAGGAAUACCGAUGGCGAAGGCAGCCCCCUGGGCCAAUACUGACGCUCAUGCACGAAAGCGUGGGGAGCAAACAGGAUUAGAUACCCUGGUAGUCCACGCCCUAAACGAUGUCAACUAGUUGUUGGGGAUUCAUUUCCUUAGUAACGUAGCUAACGCGUGAAGUUGACCGCCUGGGGAGUACGGUCGCAAGAUU